GAAUGCUGACAUAAGUAACGAUAAAGCGGGUGAAAAGCCCGCUCGCCGGAAGACCAAGGGUUCCUGUCCAACGUUAAUCGGGGCAGGGUGAGUCGACCCCUAAGGCGAGGCCGAAAGGCGUAGUCGAUGGGAAACGGGUUAAUAUUCCCGUACUUGGUGUUACUGCGAAGGGGGGACGGAGAAGGCUAUGUUGGCCGGGCGACGGUUGUCCCGGUUUAAGCGUGUAGGUGUGUGUUCCAGGUAAAUCCGGUUCACUUUAACACUGAGGCGUGACGACGAGGCACUACGGUGCUGAAGCAACAAAUGCCCUGCUUCCAGGAAAAGCCUCUAAGCAUCAGGUAACAUCAAAUCGUACCCCAAACCGACACAGGUGGUCAGGUAGAGAAUACCAAGGCGCUUGAGAGAACUCGGGUGAAGGAACUAGGCAAAAUGGUGCCGUAACUUCGGGAGAAGGCACGCUGACACGUAGGUGAAGUGAUUUACUCAUGGAGCUGAAGUCAGUCGAAGAUACCAGCUGGCUGCAACUGUUUAUUAAAAACACAGCACUGUGCAAACACGAAAGUGGACGUAUACGGUGUGACGCCUGCCCGGUGCCGGAAGGUUAAUUGAUGGGGUCAGCGCAAGCGAAGCUCCUGAUCGAAGCCCCGGUAAACGGCGGCCGUAACUAUAACGGUCCUAAGGUAGCGAAAUUCCUUGUCGGGUAAGUUCCGACCUGCACGAAUGGCGUAAUGAUGGCCAGGCUGUCUCCACCCGAGACUCAGUGAAAUUGAACUCGCUGUGAAGAUGCAGUGUACCCGCGGCAAGACGGAAAGACCCCGUGAACCUUUACUAUAGCUUGACACUGAACAUUGAGCCUUGAUGUGUAGGAUAGGUGGGAGGCUUUGAAGUGUGGACGCCAGUCUGCAUGGAGCCGACCUUGAAAUACCACCCUUUAAUGUUUGAUGUUCUAACGUGGACCCGUUACCCGGGUUGCGGACAGUGUCUGGUGGGUAGUUUGACUGGGGCGGUCUCCUCCUAAAGAGUAACGGAGGAGCACGAAGGUUGGCUAAUCCUGGUCGGACAUCAGGAGGUUAGUGCAAUGGCAUAAGCCAGCUUGACUGCGAGCGUGACGGCGCGAGCAGGUGCGAAAGCAGGUCAUAGUGAUCCGGUGGUUCUGAAUGGAAGGGCCAUCGCUCAACGGAUAAAAGGUACUCCGGGGAUAACAGGCUGAUACCGCCCAAGAGUUCAUAUCGACGGCGGUGUUUGGCACCUCGAUGUCGGCUCAUCACAUCCUGGGGCUGAAGUAGGUCCCAAGGGUAUGGCUGUUCGCCAUUUAAAGUGGUACGCGAGCUGGGUUUAGAACGUCGUGAGACAGUUCGGUCCCUAUCUGCCGUGGGCGCUGGAGAACUGAGGGGGGCUGCUCCUAGUACGAGAGGACCGGAGUGGACGCAUCACUGGUGUUCGGGUUGUCAUGCCAAUGGCACUGCCCGGUAGCUAAAUGCGGAAGAGAUAAGUGCUGAAAGCAUCUAAGCACGAAACUUGCCCCGAGAUGAGUUCUCCCUGAGACUUAGAGUCUCCUGAAGGAACGU
rnacentral:rRNA from 1 species